rnacentral:lncRNA from 1 species
CCCUUGAACUAUAGCCUUCUUCUCCUUAUUCCAUGCUGUAGAAGAGACCCUUCUCUAUUCUUGGUGUGUGGAAGAUGGACACCCAACCUUUGGGUGUGGGAAAGAGAAAAGACAAAGGAUGAGGCAUGGAGAGGAGAGAGAAAGAGUUUUGAAUUCAUAAAAUUCAAUUAAAUGAAAUCCUAAGAGACUAUUUGUGAUGCCCCAGCCC